rnacentral:rRNA from 1 species
CCUACGGGAGGCUGCAGUGAGGAAUAUUGGUCAAUGGGCGGAAGCCUGAACCAGCCAAGUAGCGUGCAGGAUGAAGGCCCUACGGGUUGUAAACUGCUUUUAUACGGGAAUAACGCGCCUUACGUGUAGGGCUUUGCAUGUACCGUAUGAAUAAGGACCGGCUAAUUCCGUGCCAGCAGCCGCGGUAAUACGGAAGGUCCGGGCGUUAUCCGGAUUUAUUGGGUUUAAAGGGAGCGUAGGCCGCAUGUCAAGCGUGCUGUGAAAUGUCCGGGCUCAACCCGGGCCUUGCAGCGCGAACUGGCGAGCUUGAGUCCGCGGAAAGCAGGCGGAAUUCGUGGUGUAGCGGUGAAAUGCGUAGAUAUGACGAAGAACCCCGAUUGCGAAGGCAGCUUGCUGCAGCGGAACUGACGCUGAUGCUCGAAAGCGCGGGUAUCGAACAGGAUUAGAUACCCUUGUAGUC